rnacentral:lncRNA from 1 species
UUUUCCGUCGGUUUUCGACGUCUCUCUGAGAGACCUAAUGGACCAAACGAUGGGGAAUAUGAUAGCACAGCAGCAAAUGAUAUCAACCAACAAAAACACCUGGUUCCAGGUGACCCAGUCCUUGAUAAACGGCCCAGUUUCCCCAAUCACAACGGACGCCACGUUGGCCAAGACCUGCAGAGGGAUAACAAUCAUCAACACUUUCUUCUCCUUCUCCUGCAAGAAGGGCUUCAAAAACGACCACCCGGUCCCGAUCAAAACGAUCACC